GGAGAAGCAGCGAUUGGUGCUGGGGCGGGCGGUGUUUUGAGUGCGCGCGCGCGCAGGCGGGAGCGCGUACGUCGGCAGCGCGGAAGUUAGGGUCUCGAGGAGGCUGCCACCGGCUGAUCCUUCCUCCGGCGGCCGCCCUCCGUGGCCAGUUGUCGGACUCCGGGAAGUAGGCGCUGAGGGCUCGCCCCCUGCGUAUGUGAGCGCUUCUGUCUCUCUGGCGGCUACGCACGGCUGUCGCUCUGGAGAGACUGAGGAGGAAACGGGGGUGGGAGGGGAUUGCGACUGCAGUGGGACGCGGGAGCGGCGGAAGCACCGCGCUGGAGCGGUCCGGUGGCGUCGCCGGGCUUCCUUGCCCUCCCUCCGCCCGGCCGGGCUGGCUCGGAUCCCCGGGUCGAGCGCGCUGCUGCGUCACACCAGGCAGCCAGGCCGCCACUGUUGAGCAUCUCCGGCCGCCUCCCACGCCCGGGCGAGUGCACGGCCCGAGCUCCCGAGCCGAAGCGAAAGAAUGCGAGCUCAGGUCCCUCCCUGGAGGGCGGAUUAAAGGAUGCCGCGACGAAUCGCAAAAGAACAAAAGCUCUCCAGGGACGCUGCUGACCUCAUCACUGCCUCCCAUCUUUCCUAGUAGACGCUCAACAUCCUAGACACACAUCUCUUCAGGUGUAGGGGACUAUAAGAAGCAUGGUACUGCUGUAGCAAGCAACAGGUGAGUAAGGUAGAGGAAGAUGAGCUGGAGAAGUUGCACUUGCCGGAGUGUUGUGCUAUUUGUUGAAGAGAACCCACAGUGCUGGAGAGUGAAUGUAGGACCAUUGCACUACCUCCCAGCCCUUUGUUUUUCUGUUUCAAGACAGGAUUUCACUAAGUCUCCCUGAGUUGCCAAGUCUGGGCUCAAACUUUCAGUCCUCCUGCUUCAAUCUCCCAGAGUCCUGGGAUUAAUUACAGGACACACCAGCUGCUGUCACUGAUGUGCUGAAACUGUCAACUCCAAGAGAAGGAGCAAAAGAAUGAUAAACAGUACAGUGUAUCUGGGCAUGAUGGCACAAGCCUGUAAUCCCAGCACUCUGGGAGGCUGAGGCAAGAGGAUCUAAGUUCAAGACCAGCCUCAGUGAGACCCUCUCUCAAAAUAAAAAAUACAAGAAAGGGCUGUGCAUGUAGCUCUACAGUAGUACAGAAAAUAAAUAAAUAUAAAUGUAUAAGUAUACAACAGCAGAUACAUAAACCAGUGACAUGGUCACUUGUUAUCACCAUCAAGCAUUAUGUACUGUAUCAUUGUAUGUGCUAGGCUUUCACAGGACAGGCAGCACUGUGAUUUUGUUUACGACAGCGUCAUUGUGCUACUGCUUUAUGGGGCCUCCCAUCUCACUGGGUGAUAGGGAGUUUUUGGCUCCAUUAAGAUCUGUGGGACCACUGCUGUAUUUGUAAUUCAUCAUUGCCCAAACUAUCACUGCGUGGGGCAUCACUGUAUAGAAGGCACACACAUGCACACACUCUCUUUGAACUGCCUGCAUUUUUCCUCUAAGCAGGACAUCUGUGUCAGAAUAUUCUCCCAAGUCACUACUGUGACAUUUUUAGUCAUUGUGUGGCCACAUUCUGCCAGGGAUUCAAAUACCAGGUCCUCAUUGACAAUGAGAUAGCUCUGAUCUAAUCCUCAAACUUUUAUCUAUCAUGGUUCAUAUGAGUUUGCACUAAACUAUGAAAUAAAUUUGUCCCAGCCUGGGCAAUUUAUGACUUAAUAAGACUUUGUCUCAAAAGAAAAAAAAUUUUUUAAACGGGCUGGGUAUGUAGCUCAGUGCCAAGGUUCUGGGUUCAAUCUCCAAUUUAAAAAAUAGUGUUUUAUUGUGUUAUUUUUUGGUCUUUGUGCCUCUGACUUCUUUCACAGAAUUAAAACCUUUAGAAUUUUAUCAGUGUUAGGACUGUCCUAGUAUUCUGUGUUAAUCUGUUUUUCAUUAGUAUAAUGAAGUAUCUGAGGCGAGCUAAUUUAUGAAGAAAAGUGUGUAAUUUAACUCAUAGUUCUGGAGGCUCCAGGGCCCACAUCAGGUUAUGGCCUUUUUGUUGGGAGAGGCCUGAGACAGCACAGAGCAUCCUAUAAUGAGAGACAAGAGCUUGCCCUUUGGCUUCUUUCUGCUUGUACAGCUGUGACUAUUGAAUCCUAGAGGUUCCACUGCAUAACUUUCUCUAAACUAAUUACCCCCUAAAGGCCUUACCUAUAGGCAUCAUAGUUGAAUUAAGUUUCCACCCUUUUAAUACCCCUCAAUGAGGAUGAAAUUUCAACACGCCAUCCCUGCCAUCCCCGUGGGUACUAAAACUACAUCUGAACCACAACACCCCCUUCUGAUAAUACCUGAAUUCAUGCUGAUGACCUAGGGUGGAGACCCAAGACAACCUUGGACCAGUUACCAGAAAGACUAAGUGAUUACAGAAGAAGAGUAUUGGAAAGACCAGCCCUACCCCAAACCUCCAGGAAGGGGGAGGGCUGGAUAUCAAGCUCUAUAAAAACUCUUAGACAACAAGAUUUCAAGAGCGCCUGGGUUGCUGAACACAGAACUGCUUCGAGGGUGGUGAACCUAGUGCGAAGUCCCAUACUCUCUCCACCAUCCCUCACCUUAUCCACUUCUUCAUCUGGUUGUUCAUCUGUGUGCUUCAAAGUACACUUUACAAUAAACCAUAAAUUAAAGUGUCUCUCAGAGUUCUGUGAGAUAGCCUAGCAAAUGGUUCAGAGUUCUCCAAGGGACAGAAUCAACAGGAUAGCUAUGUGGGAGAGAAUUUAUCAGGGGAUCAGGCUCAUUCCCUUUUGGAAGCUAAGAAAUGCCACCACAGGUUGGCAGCAGGCUGAAGAACUUGGGAUGUUGAUGGUGUGGCUCAAUCUAAAUUCAAAUGCCUUAGAACUAGUAAAGCUGGUAGUGUAGAGCUCGAGGACCCUGGGAGUUACUGGUGGAAAUUCUGAGAGUCCAAAGUCCAAGGCAGAAAUGAAUGUAUCAGAGCUCUCUGGGGGGAAACCAACUUACCUUCUGUAUUUGUUCUAUCCAAGGGCUGGGGAUGUAGCUCAAUGGCCCCACACCUGCCUGGCAAGCAAAGUCCUGAGUUCAAUAUCAAGUACAGGGAGUGGGGUGGGGUGGGGGGUAUUUGGCAGAGCUGGAUGUAUUCAUACCUAUAAUCUCAGCUACUUGAGAGGCUGAGCCAGGUGGACUGCAAGUUGGAGGGCAGCCUGGGCAAUUUGUUUAAAAAGGCUGGGGGAGUAGCUUAGUAGCUGUGUGCUUGCUAGUUUAGCAUAUCGGAGGCCUGGGGUGGGGGUGGAGGGCUAGGGGAUGAGAGAGAGAUUUGGUGUAUGUUUUUUAAACUUUAGGGAAAUAUUUUAUAUGAUAGGUUUUUCCUUGCUGCUUUUCAGAGGCAGUAUUGGUUAGAUCAACUGUUACUAAAUCUUUAUCUCUAUCUGUGAAUAUGACUUUAUGUUACUGGGAACUGAACCCAGAGCUUUGUGCAUGCUAGGAAGCAAUCUACCAGUUAACUACAUCACUGGCCUUUUUUAUUUCAUUUUUUGAGACAAGAUCUUCCUAAAUUGCCCUGGGACUUGUGAUGCUCUUGCCUCAGCCUCCAGAGUGGUAGGGGUUACAGGCUUGCACCACUGCACACCACUGAUCUUUAUGGCAUUUUAAGUACAUUAAUGUUUUGUGAGUACUACACUUACAUUUAAUGAGAUGAAUUCAUGUUGCCUAAUACGUUGCAUAUUAUUUCUUUGAAUCAUUUUCUUAAUCCAGUGACAGCCUUGAGCUUCUUCAUUAGCUGAAAAUUUUGCAAUGUUUCAUCAAACACACAUAAAUAUCGUGUUUUAAUAUACUUUCUCUUUUCUGAACAAAUAGGUAUUUGUUGGAGGCAAUCUUAUAAAUUAAUUUAAAAUAAACCCAUUGGUUUUUGGUUUAUUUCUUAUUUUUAUCAUAUAAUUAACAGGAGAGGGCAGUCAGAGACUACUGUUAAGAAUUCAAUGGCCUGCAUAUAUUUCAGAGGCCAAAAAGAAAUCCUAUAAUUCUGCUUUAAAAACACUUGCAUCAGUAACACAUGCUAUAUGUUAUUUAAACUCGUUUAUGGUGAAUCAUUUAUAUCUCUGAUGGAUCCCUUAUAACAUGGAGGUUCCCAGGAAGCCUGUCUAAUCUAGCAAAAAGUAAAUCUGAAGAGCUUACAUGAUGUGCUCAAGACUGAAUACCUGACCACUUGAAGUUAGAGUUUACUUUUGUCCUUCACACCCCCCUUUCCUGGAUAUGUAUCCAUGAAACAGGAACUAGCUGUGAAGUUCAUAGUGGAUUCAGAAGAGAUUUGAAGAGACAGUAUUGAAAAGGUCAGGUUUAUACUUCAGAAUUACUUAAUAAUUCAAAAAGUAAUUUAUCCGAAUUCACAAAUAAGCCUGAUGUCUUUUGCUGAUCUUAUUGUCUAGUUUUCAUGAACUAUAUUUCUCCUACUAGUAUGUUAGUAUUUUAUAGACAUCUUAAUUCUUUACAAAGGAUAUUUGAGACAAUCUAGCAACAUUUUUUAAAAGCAUAAAACUCUUAGGUUUGCUUUGUAAUAUAGCAAUAAGUUUGAGUGAUUUCUAAAAUUAUUACUUGUAGCACAGUAUGAUGACAUCU
ensembl:lncRNA